AGGAAGGAAGGAAGGAAGGAAGGAAGGAAGGAAGGAAGGAAGGAAGGAAGGAAGGAAGGAAGGAAGGAAAUUUUGGAUUUCAAGAACAAGGAAACUGCUAGCAGAGAGUAAUAACCACAGCCAGGACAUUGCAGGGAAGCCACAUCAUUGAUGCAUUAGGACACUGCCAGGUCUCUGUAGCAGAAAUUGAGAUAAGAGAAGUGGAAUUCCUUCAUCAAAGAGUUACUGGAGCAAAGCCAUCUUAAUUUUUCUCAUUAUUUAGGAAGGCAGAACGGCAGUGUGAUUGAAGAGAGGAAUGAGACUGUAACCUGGGUUAAUAGCAGGUUUCUUGUGAAGAAAAAUCAGAACAUUGAUGCAGACACAUACCUGAUGACCAGGACUGGUAUAUUCACCUGAGAAGUCAAGUGAACUUAAAACCCAUUGAACACAGUGCCAUACAAUUUGAAAAGGAAUAUCUGCAUGAAAAUAUGCAGUCUUAAAGGAACACAAAGAUUGGAAGUGGAAUAAUGUCAAUGAUGGUCUGUAAAAACCACUUUGUUUCUGAAGUGAACAUACUGAUGGUGAAAUAUGUCAGCAUGGCACGUGGAGAAAAUGAUGCUGUUCUGGUCACCUACACCAUUGCUGCACCCCUCAGGACACAGGUAGAACCUUUGUCUUGCUCCUGAGGUUCUGCCUCCCUCCAUGACUCUGGGAACUGCUGUUAAAGGGACUUCCUGCCCAUUUGCAUUUGGAGGCCCACAUAGUUGUCAGUGAAGUGAAAUUGCAGUGUUCACCUCCCUUUGAAUGCUCUGGCCCACACAUUGGGGAUUUUAGACCAGAGCAGAUACUUCUGAAAGAUUCUCUGCCUAAAAUUUCACACUUUGUGAAAAUUCUCCACAACAGGGAUUCAUAAUGAACAUUUUUGCCUAACUACCUAUUUUGUCUAACUGUCUAUUGGUGCCUGAUCAUUUGUCAAAAAUAACUAUUCAAUUCCCUCAAGUAAUGGAUUUCUACCUCUGAUGCUUCUUAUGCCUGUACCACUCCAAUAUUUCUCUAAUGCUCCACCUGCAAAUGAAUAUUGAGGGAGGAGAAAUGUGUACAAGGACUUGCAAGGUUACCCUCCCGUCAGCAUGAAACAUGAGUUUCCCUGAAUGUCAUGGGCACGGCAUCACCUUGUGCUUGGUAAGUGGGUGGUGGUAGGAAUGAAAGCUUAGGUAAUACCUAACUGCUUUAUUUUGGAUGAAAGCUGGGGGCAGCCCUGAGUAAUCUGCCACUACAUUCUCUGCAAAAGGAAGACCACAGUUACCAUUAAGAUUAGCAAUUUUCUAUUCAGUCCUGAGUGACUGCUCCCACAAUGCCAAUCAGAAAAAUGGAAAUUAUUUUCUUUUGUUAUAGAGACCACCCAAACAAGUUUUGGAAGGGAGUUAAAGAAGAAAAAUCCAGUUAAUGCUUUUUCUUUUUUGAGUAUUUUUGGUAGCUUUUAUCCUGAUUCAGCAACUAUGCUCUUCAUUGGCAGCCACAUUGAAUGGAAUUUGUCUAAACCUACUCACAGUUUUUCCUACAAAUCCUUUUUUCCCUUGUCACCCCUCAGCUUCACACUGAAUCUCUGACUUUUAUCUGACUGUUGACAAUGGAAAUACUCAUGUGUUUUGGUUUGUAUUGCCAUGGAUAUUCAUGCUGGAGCAAGUACUCAGGACUAUAAUCUGUACUGUGGAAAAUUGCCUCAGACUGUGCUGUAGGCAAGAAAGCUGUCUGGGCUUUCUCAUGCAGAGCACAUCCCAGAGCCCAGGUCUGCUGGAAGGCGCUGAGGAAGAUGCUUGGGUAACCAUAACCACACUCAUCAAGAUGCU